rnacentral:tRNA from 1 species
AUUAUAAUAGGAUAUAUUAAUCCAUAGACCUUCAAAGUCUAAAAUAGUCAAAUUAGAUUUUAUAAUG